GGAGAAAAAGUGCUCCUCAGUACUCAGAAUGCAGCAAAGCAGCAAUCCAAUAAAUAUUCUGCAAGUUCUACCUUAAGACGGCAGAGCAUCAAACAUGAAAACACAGUGCAAACUCCUAAGAAUGUCCAUAACAUUACGCAAAUUGAGAAGAAGACUCCAGCCUCUGAGACAGAGCCUCUAAAGACAGCAUCAAGUAUGAGCAAGUUAAGGAGAUCUAGAGAGCUCAGACAUACCCUUGUCAAAAGUAAGAAUGAAAAAACAGAAGCAGUCCUUGCCAAGAGCAUCACAGGAAGACAUCUACGGAAGACAUUUCAAGGACAAGAAGUAGACCAACAAGUGCAGGGCAGUGAAAACUCUUCACAAAGAUGCGAGGAAAACAGUAAAUUAAGUGAAGAUUCAGAAAAGACAUCCGCUAGGAGAUCAAGUGCCAGGAAGCAGAAACUAACAAAAGACUUAGUAGGAAGUCAGAUGGUCACCCAAUCAGCAGACUGUGCUGAGGACCUACUUAGUCAAGAACAAGGAACAAUACAAAACCUAGAGGAAUCCAUGUACACGCAA
rnacentral:lncRNA from 1 species